rnacentral:lncRNA from 1 species
GCGCAAUUCUCAGCAGUUUCUGCUCAUUUAAACAUAAUUGUCAGUCUCUCCAUCUUGUACCUUGUGAGAGAGAAUUUGGCACAGUGAGAUGAGUAGCCGCCUUGCGCCCAGGAGGUCCAGGUUCGAAUCCUGCUCAGGGAGACUUUUUUUUUUUUCCACCACCAUACAACUUUUUGCAACUUUUCAUCUUUUUCAGCUUUUCAGCAGACAGCUUCAGCGUUAAGGCAUCCACACAGCAUUUUCGCAGGAAAUGCAAAUUUUUCUAGUUUUUCUAGUUCUUUAUUAUUCUGCAAGUUGCUUCCAUACGUUUUUCGGCACUUAACUACUCCCUCAGUUUUCAGCCGAUUUUCUCCGUUCAAACUCUAAACUGUUCUGCUCUUUCUGCUAAUUCCAGCUAUAUCUUUUGGUGUUUAUUACUAUUAUACUUUUUAAAAUAUUACACUUUUUUCCUUU